GAUGAACGCUAGCGGCAGGCUUAACACAUGCAAGUCGAGGGGUAUAGUUCUUCGGAGCUAGAGACCGGCGCACGGGUGCGUAACGCGUAUGCAAUCUACCUUUUGCAGAGGGAUAGCCCAGAGAAAUUUGGAUUAAUACCUCAUAGUAUGUGAGAAUGGCAUCAUUUUCACAUUAAAGUCACAACGGCAAAAGAUGAGCAUGCGUCCCAUUAGCUUGUUGGUAAGGUAACGGCUUACCAAGGCAACGAUGGGUAGGGGUCCUGAGAGGGAGAUCCCCCACACUGGUACUGAGACACGAACCAGAUUCCUACGGGAGGCAGCAGUGAGGAAUAUUGGACAAUGGGCGCAAGCCUGAUCCAGCCAUGCCGCGUGCAGGAUGACGGUCCUAUGGAUUGUAAACUGCUUUUGUACAGGAAGAAACACUGGUUCGUGAACCAGCUUGACGGUACUGUAAGAAUAAGGAUCGGCUAACUCCGUGCCAGCCGCCGCCGUAAAAC
rnacentral:rRNA from 1 species